rnacentral:rRNA from 1 species
GACGAGCGCNGGCGGCGUGCUUAACACAUGCAAGUCGAACGAAGAGCGACGGAAGCUUGCUUCUAUCAAUCUUAGUGGCGAACGGGUGAGUAACGCGUAAUCAACCUGCCCUUCAGAGGGGGACAACAGUUGGAAACGACUGCUAAUACCGCAUACGAUCUAAUCUCGGCAUCGAGGAUGGAUGAAAGGUGGCCUCUACAUGUAAGCUAUCACUGAAGGAGGGGAUUGCGUCUGAUUAGCUAGUUGGAGGGGUAACGGCCCACCAAGGCGAUGAUCAGUAGCCGGUCUGAGAGGAUGAACGGCCACAUUGGGACUGAGACACGGCCCAGACUCCUACGGGAGGCAGCAGUGGGGAAUCUUCCGCAAUGGACGAAAGUCUGACGGAGCAACGCCGCGUGAGUGAUGACGGCCUUCGGGUUGUA